CUGACUGCACGUUCAUCAUUUACCCAGCCAGCUCCCUGCCGUCUUCUCCCGCGCGCAGGCACCAAGAACAGCCACAAAGAUUCUCGCGUCCUUGAUCCAGCAUGAUGGAGAAAAGUUCCAGUGCCAAAUCCUUUUCUCCACUCCGAGAACUUGGUGUCAAGGCUCCGUUGUCGGUGUAACUGGAAAAUCUGGGCAUGAUUCCGAGAGCAGGCCACAACUCUGAGAUUGCGUGAGCAGCUGGCGAUUGCGGAGAUUGCAUUGUGAUUCCACAGGUUUUGUCAGUGAAUGCCGCCAAGAACUCAACAGAGCUGGUUGCCAGGCUCACACUGCGCAGACCAAGCGCACCACACCGCGGGGAAUGAAGCGCCGGCGAUUUUCACAGCAUUGUGUUGGUGGUUUGCUGCGAGCAAUAGGAUGCUCGCCGAUUAUUUGGAAACA